UACGUAGGGGGCAAGCGUUGUCCGGAAUCAUUGGGCGUAAAGCGCGUGUAGGCGGCUCGAUCAGUCCGCUCUGAAAGCCCGGGGCUCAACCCCGGGAGGCGGGCGGAUACUGUCGAGCUAGAGUCCGGAAGGGGCGAGUGGAAUUCCUGGUGUAGCGGUGAAAUGCGCAGAUAUCAGGAGGAACACCAAUGGCGAAGGCAGCUCGCUGGGACGGUACUGACGCUGAGACGCGAAAGCGUGGGGAGCAAACAGG
rnacentral:rRNA from 1 species